GCUGCAGGAGUAUGUGAUGGAGAAUGAGACUCAGCAGGAGCCGGUCUGUCCUGAGUGUCAAGGAUUCAGGAUCAGGACAAGGUCCUGCAAGCUGGCUUCUUAGCACUUCUUAGUUUUUAUUUUUAGCACAGGAUGCUCUCGGCUGACCUUUCAUCAUCUUGGUCUCAGCCUGGAAUCCACCAUUUCUCAAGCAUUUUCCUGGGAAAGGGAUCUUAAGAAACCCAGCUGCUGUUUUAACAAGGCAACCAUCUCUCGGUGCUUCUUCGACUUCUCGUGAUUCUUCAUGCUGAAAGAACAACCUCACGUGAGCAGCUGCACAGGCACUCCUUCACACAUGCCCAGCUCGUGCUGGAUGGCUCCAACCCAGCAGAAAUUUACUUUUUUCCAGUUAACUUAAAGAUGGAUACAGACAAACAGAAGGCUAUCAAGACUUCCCAGGCAUUA